AUUGAACGCUGGCGGCAGGCUUAACACAUGCAAGUCGAGCGAGCGGCGGACGGGUGAGUAAUGUCUGGGAAACUGCCUGAUGGAGGGGGAUAACUACUGGAAACGGUAGCUAAUACCGCAUACCAUCAGAUGUGCCCAGAUGGGAUUAGCUUGUUGGUGGGGUAAUGGCUCACCAAGGCGACGAUCCCUAGCUGGUCUGAGAGGAUGACCGGCCACACUGGAACUGAGACAGGGCCCAGACCCCUACGGGAGGAAGCAGGGGGGAAUAUUGCAAAAUGGGCGCAGGCCUGAGGCAGCCAGGCCGGGUGUGUGAAGAAGGCCUUCGGGUGGAAAAGAACUUUCAGCGAGGAGACGUUACUCGAAGAAGAAGCACCGGCUAACCCCGUGCCAGCAGCCGCGGUAAUU
rnacentral:rRNA from 1 species